rnacentral:rRNA from 1 species
UGGGGAAUUUUGGACAAUGGGCGAAAGCCUGACCAGCAAUGCCGCGUGUGUGAAGAAGGCCUUCGGGUUGUAAAGCACUUUUGUCCGGAAAGAAAUCCUUGGCUCUAAUACAGUCGGGGGAUGACGGUACCGGAAGAAUAAGCACCGGCUAACUACGUGCCAGCAGCCGCGGUAAUACGUAGGGUGCAAGCGUUAAUCGGAAUUACUGGGCGUAAAGCGUGCGCAGGCGGUUUGCUAAGACCGAUGUGAAAUCCCCGGGCUCAACCUGGGAACUGCAUUGGUGACUGGCAGGCUAGAGUAUGGCAGAGGGGGGUAGAAUUCCACGUGUAGCAGUGAAAUGCGUAGAGAUGUGGAGGAAUACCGAUGGCGAAGGCAGCCCCCUGGGCAAUACUGACGCUCAUGCACGAAAGCGUGGGGAGCAAACAGGAUUAGAUACCCUGGUAGUCCACGCCCUAAACGAUGUCAACUAGUUGUUGGGGAUUCAUUUCCUUAGUAACGUAGCUAACGCGUGAAGUUGACCGCCUGGGGAGUACGGUCGCAAGAUUAAAACUCAAAGGAAUUGAC